rnacentral:tRNA from 1 species
GGGGCAGUAGCUCAGUUGGGAGAGCGCGACGCUGGCAGUGUCGAGGUCCGGGGUUCGAUCCCCCGCUGCUCCACCA